AACGAACGCGGGCGGCGUGCUUAACACAUGCAAGUCGAACGCGAAAGUUUUCUUCGGAAGACGAGUAGAGUGGCGCACGGGUGAGUAACGCGUAAGUUAUCUACCUCGGCAUCUGGAAUAACUCACCGAAAGGUGUGCUAAUACCGGAUACGUUGAGUAAUCAAGAAAGGUGGCCUCUGAAUAUGCUACUGUGCUGAGAUGAGCUUGCGUACCAUUAGCUAGUUGGUAGGGUAAUGGCCUACCAAGGCGACGAUGGUUAGCGGGUCUGAGAGGAUGAUCCGCCACACUGGAACUGGAACACGGACCAGACUCCUACGGGAGGCAGCAGUGAGGAAUAUUGCGCAAUGGGGGCAACCCUGACGCAGCGACGCCGCGUGGAUGAUGAAGGCCUUCGGGUCGUAAAAUCCUGUCAAGUGGAAAGAAGUGCAUGGUGGAUAAUACCCAUCAUGUUUGACGGUACCACUGAAGGAAGCACCGGCUAACUCCGUGCCAGCAGCCGCGGUGACACGGAGGGUGCAAGCGUUGUUCGGAAUUACUGGGCGUAAAGCGCGCGUAGGCGGUUUGCUAAGUCAGAUGUGAAAGCCCAUGGCUCAACCAUGGACGUGCAUUUGAAACUGGCAGACUUGAGUAUUGGAGGGGGUGGUGGAAUUCCCGGUGUAGAGGUGAAAUUCGUAGAUAUCGGGAGGAAUACCAGUGGCGAAGGCGACCACCUGGCCAAAUACUGACGCUGAGGUGCGAAAGCGGGGGGAGCAAACAGGAUUAGAUACCCUGGUAGUCCACGCCGUAAACGAUGUCAACUAGGUGUUGGGACGGUUAAUCGUCUCAUUGCCGCAGCUAACGCAUUAAGUUGACCGCCUGGGGAGUACGGUCGCAAGAUUA
rnacentral:rRNA from 1 species